GGGGGCGGGGCUCCGCUUGACAGUGGCGGUCGCCGGGCAGCCGAGCCCGGGCUCAGCGACUCAGCGAGCGCAGCGCAGGGAGCGCGAGAGGCGCAGGCGGCUGUGGCGCCGGGUCCCCGCGGCUCCGAAGCUUGGCGCAGAGAAGUAGCCUCCCGCGGUGGCGACGACAGCGGCGGCGUGCGGGCGAUGCUGCGGGUCUCGUCGGGCGCCGGUGUCCUGGCUUCUUUCUAAGAACGAAGAACAAACUAAAUUCAUCUCAAAAUGAUUAUAAAUCAUCGAGACGGAGCAGCCUGCCACCUGAACUGCUCAUAGGAAAUGACAUUAGAGGAAGACUUCAAAGGAACAUUAAGAACUUGGAUCCCAUUCACCUGAGGCGCCCAAAGAAGAGACCAUCCAUAUUUCCAGGCAGCAGAUAACACCGGACAAGCAAGAGAAGCCUGUUCAUUCAUGUAUGCACUGAACAUAUGUUUAUUGCAUGAGGACUUACUGUGUGCGAGGAGCUGUGGUGGGUACAAAACUGAGUAAGACACAGCUCUUCUGAAGGGAGAGAUAGGACAGAUGGUUAUCACAGGAAUCAAGGCUGGGGGGAGAAUAAAUACCGUAGAUUGUGAGAUACAAUCCACCCGCCAUUUAUCACCCUCCUCCCACUCUGCCACACGGCAGGCUGGGACACAGGGGUACAGGUAACCAGUGGGUCCCCCUUUCUUGAAACACUCUGUUCUUUGGUUCCUACUGACCACCCAGGUCUACCACCAGCCUGUACAGUAUCUUGAUUACAAAAUAGGCACCCAUUUGUCUGGAGUGAGGGUGGAAAUCUAGUCUGAGCUCCACCUCCAAGUUGUAAAGAGCUGAUGCAGUCCCACAGCAGGGUGGACACAGACCAUUACCACCCCUUAACUACUGGGAGGGUAAAGGUCAUACUGGAUUUCCAUUCUCAUUCUCCUUACCUACACUCCAGGCCAGAUGGCCUUGUUGAGACCACAACCUAUACAACAAAUCAAAUUCUUGUGAAAAAUACUGGCAUUCUUCUAUAGACUCCUUUGGCCUAGGGCUACAGUCCUCAGGGAAUAAUUCCUCACCCAGGCUGAAGUCAGUCAGGAAGGCAGUGAGUAGGUUAGGAGAGUAUCAGGGGGACCGGCAGCCCCUCUCUUGGUAAUAAGGAGGGUCUUAACAUUUCUUCCUGAACUUUCUUUAAAGAAGUUGGUAACCAUGAUUCUUGCCUUGCUUGUGAUUUAAAAAAAAUAUUAAAAAGCUAUGAUAAAUGACUGGAGUUUUAAAAUUUGGUAGACCUAAGCGUUAUCAGCUAUGACCUUUAUUUUAUGUUACUCUAAGCCUCAAUUUUCUCCUCUGUAAAAUGAGCCUAGUACUUACUUCAUAGGCUGGGUGCAG